rnacentral:rRNA from 1 species
ACCUUAGAUGUUCGGGGCCGCACGCGCGCUACACUGAAGGACUCAGCGUGUCUCUCCCCCUAUCCCGAAAGGGAUGGGCAACCCGUUGAACCUCCUUCGUGCUGGGGAUUGGGGUUUGCAAUUAUCCCCCAUGAACGAGGAAUUCCCAGUAAGCGCGAGUCAUCAGCUCGCGUUGAUUACGUCCCUGCCCUUUGUACACACCGCCCGUCGCUACUACCGAUUGGAUGGUUUAGUGAGACCCUCGGAUCGGUCCCGACUCGGGGUGGGCUUCUGCCCCGGUCGUGGUUUCGCCGAGAAGACGGUCAAACUUGACUAUCUAGAGGAAGUAAAAGUCGUAACA